rnacentral:lncRNA from 1 species
CACCUCUGUGAUCAUUUGAAAUCCCCUCUACAACAGCGUCUUUGCAUCAGCUAUCUAAAUGAAGCCAUACUUUGCAUCAGUCAGUGCACUCAUUCAAAAGCCAUGGGAAGAAAAGAAAAUGAACAGUGAUAACUUUUAGACAAGAGCGUAGUAGUAGCUGGAACUACAUAAUUAUCCCACCAUGACAAUAUCCUAUUAAGAAAAGUCAAGUAAUUCAGCAAAUGACUCAGAGCUUGAGAUAUCUGACAGGCGUAGAGCAUGCCCUGGGAGAAAUCAUGCUAACAUACUAUUGCAUGGAAAGUAAUAGCAAGUGACUCAGUGUCAAUUAGCCUACCUCCUCCAACUGACCAGCCAUCAUACAGUACGUACUGAAUGUGGGCGCUGUGGAAAUGUGCACAGUGUUGAACAAGUCCAUAUGAUUACUACAAGAUAACAGCACUGAGAACUAUGGCAUGAGAAUGAGCAUUUUGCACAUUGUCAUUGAGGGUCAAAAGUUGGGGUCAGAGGUUGAGGGUCAUAAUUGAUACAACAUGCCCUACAGAAAAAAGGAUUUUCUGCUUAGUUGCUGAGUCAACUGUUCAGGUCGUGUGGCGACAUGUUUCAGCUCCGUCCUCAGGGCUGCCUGAUGAAAAAGCCAUACCAAGGGGUGUGAGUCUGAGACCCAGUCAAAGAGUUGCUGACGAGGAAACAAGGACUUUAUCUCCACAAUGCCAAGACAGUGCCCCCUAGAGUGGAGGGGGAAACAUAACAUAACAUGGACUCUGACAGCAUAUCCCCAGCUAGCCAUGUUUCCAUGAAACAGAGUAUGUUACAAUCCCGGAUGUCUCUUUGGAAAGCAAAAUCAGUUCAAAUGCACUGGGAGGUGCAGGCAAAGGAUCCGCUUUGGGAAUGUCGUAUUCCUGGUCGUAGCGCUGGUUGUGCUGGCAGGCCUACUUCUAUCCCUGCUCAACCCCGCUUUAUCUCGGCCUCGGAGGAGACUUGGAUCCCGAGGCAGAGGAUGGUGUGCAAGGAGGGUAGAGUGGAGACAGGCGUCUCUUGAGUUGGAUGUGACCUGAUGCGACGUGCACUUGCGUCUGCCUCCAUGGAAGAUCAUUUUUCCACAUCAAGAGCGGUCAAUGUUAAC